rnacentral:lncRNA from 1 species
CUCCAGUAGCCAGAUUUCUACAGUGAUCGAUUGUCUUCGGUGUCUUCCGUACCUCUCCAGCCAUCAACCUUAACAGCGCCAGUCGACCUUCCACAGUGUCCUCCAGACUUUUCCAGCGGAUGACUUCCAUCUGCAGCAUCGAUGCCUAAGGCACCCAACAACAGUUAACCCGUCAGCAACCUCAGAAACAUCCGAGCUUCUCUUAGAUUGCUGAGACCGAGAGCUAUUUCACUCCACCAGAUGUUCCAACCGAAUAUCAGC